rnacentral:lncRNA from 1 species
UUUGAUUUGGUUAUGGUUUCAAAUUAUAAAAACCGAAUUAUUUCGGUUUGGUUUCGGUUUUUACCUCCAAACCAACCGAUAAAUCCGAACCGAACCGAAUGUGUAGAUUUAAACAUUAAUAUACAUGUAUUAAUAAUGUAUUAUUAAAAAUAAAAUUAUAAUCUACAGAAAAAUGUAAAAUCUUAAACAUAUAAAAAGUAUCCUAGUAAUAGAGCCCGUCGACAGACUUCAUUAACACAUUAUUAUUAAUUUAAUUACAAUAUAAUCUGGUUUGGAUUACAAUUUAUUUGAAUUUCAGAAAUUGAUAUAAUAGAAUCUUUACAAUUAAAUAAAAACUUUGAUUUAGCCCUUCUUUUGCUUUCAAAAAAAAGAAGAGCCUACUGUCUCCGAUGUGUGACUCAAUGGUAAUCUCUAUCUCUCUCUCCCUCCCUCCCCCCUCUCCCUCCCUCUCCCCCUCUCUCUCUCCCUCCCUCUCUGCAAGCUAGCCUACACACUUAUAAGCUAAUGAAUUAUAUUUGUAAUGUUACGUUUUAGUAAGUUUAUGGCGAUUCCUAUGUGUGAUUUCAUGUCUUAUGGCGGAUUGGUAAAUUAUGUCUUAUGGUGUUGUACAACUUAUUUCGUGUAUGUGUGUGGGUGAAUGUGUUUAAAUGGUUAUGUUCUGAAAUUUGGGCUAGUUCCUUGCACUGGUUUCCGUAUAAUUAAAUUGAAAGAGAGGAGAAGAAAGCUGCUACUUUUAACUUUUUCAAAGAAAUAUUCUUUCAACAUUGCUACACACUAUUAGUUUCUUCAUCCUCGCCGUCAUCAGCUGACUUGGGAUCUUCGAUUUGGACUUUCCGGCGCGAUUGGUACCACGAUCAGAGCCUACAGAUUUCGACCACUUUAAGCUUGUAUCAUUUGUUCAUCACGUUUUUAAUUUUCCUCAUUUUUGCACUUAUGACAUAUACCAGCUUCAUUUGGUAUGUAAUCUCAUGUCCUUAUUCUGAUGAUGCAACCCUUUAUUCUUUUAUCAUAUCAUUCUGUUUCUUUUCUUUUUAAGUGAUUCAGAAUAUUGUUGUUUAUAUUGUUUGUAAGAAAAUUGAAAUCUUAUGUGAUUUAUAUUUUUGAUUUGUUAUAAAUCACAAUAUGUUAGAACUAUGUAACAUCUUGGUCGGUGGUGGUGCUGGUGGUGUAGCGGUGGUUUUACCGGCGGCAGAAUCCGUUACGUUUUUGAAUCCAUAAUUAUUAUGAAUUUGAUUUUUAGGCAAUAAUUCUUUUUUUAAAUUGGAGUGGCUUUAAUUACGGAUCCGUUUUGUUGACUAUUUAUUAUUGGACUCUAUUAGCAUCAAUUUGAAUAGUUACUUUUUAAAUUGUGAUUGUGAUUGGAUAGAUACUUUUUAUGAAUAUUCAAUACCAUUUAUGAGAGUCAUUAAGAAUGACUUUAUUGUGCCUUUAAUGGCUUUAUUGUGCCUUUGAUGGCUUUUUGUUCCACUUAUGGAUGCCAUUUUUAUGGCUUUGUUUACCAUUUUGUAGAUCAUUAUAUUUAAUAUAUUUAAUUACAUUUUAAACUUUGUUUUUAUUCCUCACUUAAAUUUUAAUUUUCAUGUGUCUAACCAAAGGAUUAUCCUUUGGUUAGAAAUUAAUUAAUAUUUUUAUAUUAUUUUAUUUUCUAUCUAUUUUUGUUAUAUAUAAUCUUUUGUUUAUAUAUAUAUGCGUGAUUCUCUUGUAUAUUGAUUUAUGUUUUGUUUGAUUUGUUUUUUUCAGGAUACUUUGGAAGCGAGCUGUUUUACGGGACUUAUGGGUUUUUCUUUUCUAAUUCAUUUAAGCUUUAUUGUCUAAGCGUCCGGAGUUAUGCUUGCAUGACUUUCGGUUAGAUGAUAAACUUUCUUGAAAGAAAGAUAUCCCAGUUGCGGUUUCUUGUAUUUCGAUACAAUUCAUCUACACGAACCGAACCGAAUGGGUAGAUUUAAACAUUAAUAUACAUGUACUAAUAAUGUAUUAUUAAAAAUAAAAGUAUAAUCUACAGAAAAAUGUAAAAUCUUAAACAUAUAAAAGGUAUCCUAGUAAAGAUUUUCUUUAAAAAUAUNCGAAUGCGGUUUAUUGUAUUUCUAUACAAUUCAUCUACGAAUGUAGACCUUACAAAAAAAAAAAAAAAGUAUCCUAGUAAAGAUUUUCUUUAAAAAUAUUAUUUAUUCUAUUUUAUGAUAUUAAUUUUGAUGUAUGUAUUAUGUUUCCAUUAUUUUUAUUUAUAUUUUAUAUAAAAGUAUACGAAUCACAUUUUGUCAAGCUAAUAUAUUCUUGUAUCCUUUUUGAAUAUGAUUAAAUAGAAAAUAUAAUUGAAUUUUUCAUUCCUUAUUUUUCAUGUUAAAAUUUAAUUUUGUUGCGAACUUUGUUUUACAUAUAAAAAACAGUUUAAACCGAAACCAAACCAAACCGAACCGUUUUAAACGGAUUGGUUUGGUUUGGAUUUUAAACAUAAUGGUUUGGUUUUGGAUUGAGAUUCUGAAAAACCGAUUAUUUCGGUUUGGUUUGGUUUAGACCCUCCAAACCGCCCAAUGCUCACCCCUAAUAUUAAGUAAGUGCAAUUGAUUCACUGCUUACUAAUUAUAAUUACAGCUUUACUGAUAAGUGGGAUUUAACUGCUCAUAAUUAUAACUUUACUGAAUAACUGGGAAUUAACAGAAACGUGACAGCGAAUAGAUUCAAAGAUAGAAUUAUAUGCGACUUUGAUGUCCUUCAAAAUAUCUGAUUAAAACUAUAUUAAAAUAUUACACAGUUGCCAAACACCUAAAGACUACUGUUAAAUUCUUAGUGGGGACCUUGAAUUGUGCAAUAUUUAAGGUUUAUUUUAUUAUUCUUUAGACGUUUUGUUUUAAAAAAAUUAUCCUAUUAUAAUGCCCAUUCUGAUGGGAAUUGUGGAG